UACGUAGGGGGCAAGCGUUGUCCGGAUUUAUUGGGCGUAAAGAGCGUGUAGGCGGCCAGGUAGGUCCGUUGUGAAAACUCGAGGCUCAACCUCGAGACGCCGAUGGAAACCAUCUGGCUAGAGUCCGGAAGAGGAGAGUGGAAUUCCCGGUGUAGCGGUGAAAUGCGCAGAUAUCGGGAGGAACACCCGCAGCGAAGGCGGCACUCUGGGCCGGAACUGACGCUGAGGAGCGAAAGCGUGGGGAGCAAACAGG
rnacentral:rRNA from 1 species